GAUCAAGACUUUUGGCUCUCGUUUGAAACAAAGGACCUUUUCUUUUUUCUUGUGGCCAUCCAAAACAGAGGAUUAAAGUUAUAGGCUUUUACGUGGCAGCUAUAAUGCUAAAAAUUCGCAUCAAGAUGGGCUACAAUGAUUAGCUUAAGGGUGCUGAAGUAGUUGAUGAUCAUGAAUCGCUUGUUCGGAGAAUUGUGCUCCUUUGAACAUGCAAAGUUAGCCCAAAUUAUGGUGCGCAACAAAGAGACAUUCACAUUAUGGGUGAUAGUGGGAUGUGAAAAGUGAAGCAACAAAGCCAAUUUGCGUUUUACAAAGUCUUGGUCUUCCUCGAAUUGAUUAAAGUUUCUUCCCAGUUAGUACUGUUUCUUAAAGUGCUUCACUUUUGCUU